UCGUACAAAAUGUGAGGGGCAUGCUCGGGCUGUCGCUGACUCAAAGGUCGUGCACGCCCGGGUGUGUCCCCUCACAUAAUAAUCCACCUCACCCUUUGUGCAUCACCGCGUGGGCACCCUUUGGGAUCAUCUCAGAGGGGGCUCGCGUUUUCACACAAACCCCCCCUUUAAAAGUGUAGAAUGACCUCAUACGUGCGCUAACCCGCAAUCAAUAC
rnacentral:misc_RNA from 1 species